rnacentral:rRNA from 1 species
GAGAGUUGAUCAUGGCUCAGGAUGGACGCUAGCGAUAGGCCUAACACAUGCAAGUCGAGGGGCAGCAUAGGGUAGCAAUACUUGAUGGCGACCGGCGCACGGGUGAGUAACGCGUAUGCAACCUACCUAGUAACAGGGGGAAUAACCCGGAGAAAUUCGGACUAAUACCGCAUAAAACAGGGGCUCCGCAUGGAGAUAUUUGUUAAAGAUUUAUCGGUUAUAGAUGGGCAUGCGUUCCAUUAGCCAGUUGGUGAGGUAACGGCUCACCAAAGCAACGAUGGAUAGGGGAACUGAGAGGUUUGUCCCCCACACUGGAACUGAGACACGGACCAGACUCCUACGGGAGGCAGCAGUGAGGAAUAUUGGUCAAUGGGCGAGAGCCUGAACCAGCCAAAUCGCGUGGAAAAGGAAGACUGCCUUAUGGGUUGUAAACUUCUUUUAUACAGGAAUAAAAAGAGUUACGUGUAACUUAUUGCAUGUACUGUAUGAAUAAGCAUCGGCUAACUCCGUGCCAGCCGCCGC